rnacentral:misc_RNA from 1 species
GAAAUGCGAUAAGUAAUGUGAAUUGCAGAAUUCAGUGAAUCAUCGAAUCUUUGAACGCACAUUGCGCCCCUUGGUAUUCCGGGGGGCAUGCCUGUUCGAGCGUCAUUACAACCCUCAAGCUCUGCUUGGAAUUGGGCACCGUCCUCACUGCGGACGCGCCUCAAAGACCUCGGCGGUGGCUGUUCAGCCCUCAAGCGUAGUAGAAUACACCUCGCUUUGGAGCGGUUGGCGUCGCCCGCUGGACGAACCUUCUGAACUUUUCUCAAGGUUGACCUCGGAUCAGGUAGGGAUACCCGCUGAACUUAAGA